rnacentral:rRNA from 1 species
AUUGAACGCUAGCGAGAUGCUUUACACAUGCAAGUCGAACGGCAGCGCGGACUUCGGUCUGGCGGCGAGUGGCGAACGGGUGAGUAAUGUAUCGGAACGUGCCCAGUAGCGGGGGAUAACUACGCGAAAGCGUAGCUAAUACCGCAUACGCCCUACGGGGGAAAGCAGGGGAUCGUAAGACCUUGCACUAUUGGAGCGGCCGAUAUCGGAUUAGCUAGUUGGUGAGGUAACGGCUCACCAAGGCGACGAUCCGUAGCUGGUUUGAGAGGACGACCAGCCACACUGGGACUGAGACACGGCCCAGACUCCUACGGGAGGCAGCAGUGGGGAAUUUUGGACAAUGGGGGCAACCCUGAUCCAGCCAUCCCGCGUGUGCGAUGAAGGCCUUCGGGUUGUAAAGCACUUUUGGCAGGAAAGAAACGUCGCGGGCUAAUACCCCGUGGAACUGACGGUACCUGCAGAAUAAGCACCGGCUAACUACGUG